UCAAGCGAGUAAGCGCAUACGGUGGAUGCCUUGGCAGUUGGAGGCGAUGAAGGACGUAGGAGCCUGCGAUAAGCUUCGGGGAGGUGGCAAACACCCUUUGAUCCGAAGAUUUCCGAAUGGGGAAACCCACCCGUCAUAAGGCGGGUAUCAUGCACUGAAUUCAUAGGUGUAUGAAGCGAACCCGGAGAACUGAAACAUCUAAGUACCCGGAGGAAAAGAAAUCAACCGAGAUUCCCUGAGUAGCGGCGAGCGAAAGGGGAGCAGCCUGCAAGUGAUAGCAGAAGUGUUAGUGGAACAGUCUGGAAAGUCUGGCAAUAAAGGGUGAUAGCCCCGUACACGAAAACUCAUCUGUGGUACUAAGCUUGCGAAAAGUAGGUCGGGACACGUGUUAUCUUGACUGAACAUGGGGGGACCAUCCUCCAAGGCUAAAUACUACCAACUGACCGAUAGUGAACUAGUACCGUGAGGGAAAGGUUAAAAGAACCCCGGAGAGGGGAGUGAAAUAGAUCCUGAAACCGUAUGCGUACAAGCAGUAGGAGCAGACUUGUUCUGUGACUGCGUACCUUUUGUAUAAUGGGUCAGCGACUUAUUUUCAGUGGCAAGGUUAACCGUUUAGGGGAGCCGUAGGGAAACCGAGUCUUAAUAGGGCGUCUUAGUCGCUGGGAAUAGACCCGAAACCGGGCGAUCUAUCCAUGGCCAGGUUGAAGGUUGAGUAACAUCAACUGGAGGACCGAACCCACUAAUGUUGAAAAAUUAGGGGAUGAGCUGUGGAUCGGAGUGAAAGGCUAAUCAAGCCCGGAGAUAGCUGGUUCUCCUCGAAAGCUAUUUAGGUAGCGCCUCAUGUCUCACCACUGGGGGUAGAGCACUGUUUCGGCUAGGGGGUCAUACCGACUUACCAACCCGAUGCAAACUCCGAAUACCAGUGAGUGCAAUCAUGGGAGACACACGGCGGGUGCUAACGUUCGUCGUGGAGAGGGAAACAACCCAGACCGCCAGCUAAGGUCCCAAAUAUCAGUUAAGUGGGAAACGAUGUGGGAAGGCUCAGACAGCUAGGAGGUUGGCUUAGAAGCAGCCAUCCUUUAAAGAAAGCGUAAUAGCUCACUAGUCGAGUCGGCCUGCGCGGAAGAUUUAACGGGGCUAAACUGAUAACCGAAGCUGCGGACGCAUACUUGUAUGCGUGGUAGAGGAGCGUUCUGUAAGCCGUUGAAGGUGCAUCGUAAGGUGUGCUGGAGGUAUCAGAAGUGCGAAUGCUGACGUGAGUAACGAUAAAGCGGGUGAAAAACCCGCUCGCCGGAAGAUCAAGGUUUCCUGUCCAACGCUAAUCGGGACAGGGUUAGUCGGUACCUAAGGCGAGGCCGAAAGGCGUAGUCGAUGGAAAACAGGUUAAUAUUCCUGUACCGCUAUAUACUGCGAUGGGGGGACGGAGAAGGCUAGGUGAUCAGGGCGAUGGUUGUCCCUGUACAAGCUUGUAGGGAGAUCUCUUAGGUAAAUCCGGGAGAUCAUUAUCCUGAGGAGUGAUGUCGAGCUCAAUUGCGAGCGAAGUCAUUGAUGCCAUGCUUCCAAGAAAAGCCUCUAAGCUUCAGGUAUAUAGAGACCGUACUCUAAACCGACACAGGUGAUCAGGUAGAGAAUACCAAGGCGCUUGAGAGAACUCGGGUGAAGGAACUAGGCAAAAUGGUACCGUAACUUCGGGAGAAGGUACGCCGGUUUUGGUGAUGAGACUUGCUCUCUAAGCUGAGGCCGGCCGAAGUGACCAGGUGGCUGCGACUGUUUAUUAAAAACACAGCACUCUGCAAACACGAAAGUGGACGUAUAGGGUGUGACGCCUGCCCGGUGCCGGAAGGUUAAUUGAUGGGGUUAUCUUCGGAGAAGCUCUUGAUCGAAGCCCCGGUAAACGGCGGCCGUAACUAUAACGGUCCUAAGGUAGCGAAAUUCCUUGUCGGGUAAGUUCCGACCUGCACGAAUGGCGUAACGAUGG
rnacentral:rRNA from 1 species